UACGGAGGGUGCGAGCGUUGUCCGGAAUCACUGGGCGUAAAGGGCGCGUAGGCGGCCUGAUAAGUAGGGGGUGAAAUCCUGCGGCUUAACCGCAGGGCUGCCUUCUAAACUGUCAGGCUAGAGCACAGUAGAGGCAGGUGGAAUUCCCGGUGUAGCGGUGGAAUGCGUAGAGAUCGGGAAGAACAUCAGUGGCGAAGGCGGCCUGCUGGGCUGUUGCUGACGCUGAGACGCGAAAGCGUGGGGAGCAAACAGG
rnacentral:rRNA from 1 species